rnacentral:rRNA from 1 species
CCUACGGGCGGCAGCAGUGAGGAAUAUUGGUCAAUGGACGCAAGUCUGAACCAGCCAUGCCGCGUGCAGGAAGACGGCUCUAUGAGUUGUAAACUGCUUUUGUCCGAGGGUAAACUCAGACACGCGUACCUGACUGAAAGUACCGUACGAAUAAGGAUCGGCUAACUCCGUGCCAGCAGCCGCGGUAAUACGGAGGAUUCAAGCGUUAUCCGGAUUUAUUGGGUUUAAAGGGAGCGUAGGCGGGCCGGUAAGUUAGAGGUGAAAUCCCGGGGCUCAACCUCGGAAUUGCGUCUGAAACUGUUCGGCUAGAGUGUAGUUGCGGUAGGCGGAAUGUAUGGUGUAGCGGUGAAAUGCUUAGAGAUCACGCAGAACACCGAUUGCGAAGGCAGCUUACCGAACUACUACUGACGUUGAGGCACGAAAGCGUGGGUAGCAAACAGGAUUAGAUACCCCUGUAGUC